GUUAAUCUGAACGACCAUUUAAUAAAAAGGAAUGCUGAUAUUGCCAAGAAAGCCAGAUAUUUACGGAAACAAAAUAAAAUACAGAAUGCAUGGGUUAUGAACUGUAAAGUAUACAUUAAACUUAAAGGUAUGCCUGAGGAAGCUAAGAUUUUAAUUAUAUGAGAUCU